UACAGAGGGGGCAAGCGUUGUUCGGAAUUACUGGGCGUAAAGGGCGCGUAGGCGGCCUGCUAAGUCGAACGUGAAAUCCCCGGGCUCAACCCGGGAACUGCAUCCGAUACUGGAUGGCUUGAAUCCGGGAGAGGGAUGCAGAAUUCCAGGUGUAGCGGUGAAAUGCGUAGAUAUCUGGAGGAAUACCGGUGGCGAAGGCGGCAUCCUGGACCGGCAUUGACGCUGAGGAGCGAAAGCUAGGGGAGCAAACGGG
rnacentral:rRNA from 1 species